rnacentral:rRNA from 1 species
AUURKWGUUUUGRAUCCUGGCUCAGGAUGAACGCUGGCGGCGUGCUUAACACAUGCAAGUCGAACGAUGAAGCCCGUGCUUGCACGGGUGGAUUAGUGGCGAACGGGUGAGUAUCACGUGAGUAACCUGCCCUUGACUCUGGGAUAAGCCUGGGAAACUGGGUCUAAUACCGGAUAYGACCAGUCCUCGCAUGAGGUGCUGGUGGAAAGAUUUUAUCGGUCUUGGAUGGACUCGCGGCCUAUCAGCUAGACGGUGAGGUAACGGCUCACCGUGGCGAUGACGGGUAGCCGGCCUGAGAGGGUGACCGGCCACACUGGGACUGAGACACGGCCCAGACUCCUACGGGAGGCAGCAGUGGGGAAUAUUGCACAAUGGGCGCAAGCCUGAUGCAGCGACGCCGCGUGCGGGAUGACGGCCUUCGGGUUGUAAACCGCUUUCAGCAGGGAAGAAGCUUUUGUGACGGUACCUGCAGAAGAAGCGCCGGCUAACUACGUGCCAGCAGCCGCGGUAAUACGUAGGGCGCGAGCGUUAUCCGGAAUUAUUGGGCGUAAAGAGCUCGUAGGCGGCUUGUCGCGUCUGCUGUGAAAGCCCGGGGCUUAACCCCGGGUGUGCAGUGGGUACGGGCAGGCUAGAGUGCAGUAGGGGAGACUGGAAUUCCUGGUGUAGCGGUGAAAUGCGCAGAUAUCAGGAGGAACACCGAUGGCGAAGGCAGGUCUCUGGGCUGUUACUGACGCUGAGGAGCGAAAGCAUGGGGAGCGAACAGGAUUAGAUACCCUGGUAGUCCAUGCCGUAAACGUUGGGCACUAGGUGUGGGGGACAUUCCACGUUUUCCGCGCCGUAGCUAACGCAUUAAKGCCCCGCUGGAWGUSCA